rnacentral:lncRNA from 1 species
GUCACACUGCGAGCGCCUGGGAUCCACGUCCACGUCCGGGCUCGUGUUUGUGGACGUACACCUCGCGCGCACUGAGCCGAACUUGUGGAGCAGCGCGUGGACGUCAGUGAACUCCUGAUGAAGACAGCUGCUCCUCUUCCUCUCCUCCACGCUCCACUGUGAACAGUGAGAAACUGCAGUACCUGGAUGAUCUAAACCGGUGGAGAACAUGCAAAGUCCUCACUUCAAAGACCUGGCCCCUGGAAUUAAAAUGAACCAAGCACAUCCGCCUUGAUUCACUUCCGUCUGUUUUACUCCUGGUUUA